UUAUGUGGGGUUUCAGUUGUUAAUCAACUGAACUCACAACACUUUUCUCACCCCACCCCUUUUCUCCCAGGGCUUGAACGUGGAGGGGUUUCGCCUUGAGCAACAUGAUGUUCCCCGGAAGAGGACACCCAAAUAGUUUCUUCCAUCCCUGCCCUCAGGAUAUCAGCCCCUCCGCCUACCCUGCUGACUUUCUCAGGGAUGACGAGGGCAUGGGGUGGGCGCCCCAGGACCAUCAGGAGGCAGCCAGCUGGGAUUACCGACACGGGAGACGCGAGGAAGGCUUCAGGGACAGGUGGCACUCGCCCUUUUCCCGAGACAUUGAACCCUACCCCGCUGACUUUUACGGGGGUGACAGCGGUGGAUGCUGGGCACCCCAGGACCAUCAGCAGCCAGCCAGGUGGGAGAACCAACCUGGGAGACAUGAGGAUGGUUUCAGGGAUGAGUGGCACUCGGCCACACCACCUAACCAGCACUGCCCGGAGUCAGUAUCGAGGGAGGAACAUGGCAACUCCUGGGACAGGCAGGUGUCAGCAGGGGAGGCGCUCGGGUGGCGACGGGAGAAGGGUGUUUUGGCUGGU
rnacentral:lncRNA from 1 species